AUACUACCUCUUUGUAUCAUAUUUUGUUAUUCUGGUCACAGAAUGACCUAGUAUUCUGUACCAGGGAAGGUAGUUC
rfam:Pan troglodytes isolate Yerkes chimp pedigree #C0471 (Clint) chromosome 15, whole genome shotgun sequence.